rnacentral:rRNA from 1 species
AAAUCCGCUUUGAUAAUGCUGGGAUGUGAUGGGGAGCGAAAUUUAGUAGCGAAGUAGCUGAUUUCACACUGUCAAGAAAAGUCUCUAUCGAGGUUAAAGGUACCCGUACCGCAAACCGACACAGGUGGGUGAGGAGAGUAUCCUAAGGCCAGCGAGAGAACUGUUGUUAAGGAACUCGGCAAAAUGACCCCGUAACUUAGGGAUAAGGGGUGCCACCAUCAGGUGGCCGCAGAGAAUAGGCCCAAGCGACUGUUUACCAAAAACAUAGGUUUCUGCUAAGUCGCAAGACGAUGUAUAGGAGCUGACGCCUGCCCGGUGCUGGAAGGUUAAGGGGAUCUGUUAGAGCAAUCGAAGCAGUGAACUUAAGCCCCAGUAAACGGCGGCCGUAACUAUAACGGUCCUAAGGUAGCGAAAUUCCUUGUCGGGUAAGUUCCGACCCGCACGAAAGGCGUAACGAUUUGGGCACUGUCUCAACAACAGACUCGGUGAAAUUGUAAUUCCGGUGAAGAUGCCGGAUACCUGCGACAGGACGGAAAGACCCCAUGGAGCUUUACUGUAGCUUGACAUUGGGUCUUGGUACUACAUGUACAGGAUAGGUGGGAGGCUUUGAAACCAGGACGCCAGUUUUGGCGGAGCCAUCCUUGGGAUACCACCCUUGUAGUACUGGGACUCUAACCAUAGGCCAUGAAUCUGGUCUUGGGACACUGUCAGGUGGGCAGUUUGACUGGGGCGGUCGCCUCCCAAAAGGUAACGGAGGCGCUCAAAGGUUCUCUCAGUACGGUCGGAAAUCGUACGUAGAGUGUAAAGGCAAAAGAGAGCUUGAUUGCAAGACAUACAGGUCGAGCAAGGAUGAAAAUCGGACUUAGUGAUCCGGUGGUUCUGCGUGGAAGGGCCAUCGCUCAACGGAUAAAAGCUACCCUGGGGAUAACAGGCUUAUCUCCCCCAAGAGUCCACAUCGACGGGGAGGUUUGGCACCUCGAUGUCGGCUCAUCACAUCCUGGGGCUGUAGUAGGUCCCAAGGGUUGGGCUGUUCGCCCAUUAAAGUGGUACGCGAGCUGGGUUCAGAACGUCGUGAGACAGUUCGGUCCCUAUCCGUCGCAGGCGUAGGAAAUUUGAGAAGACCUGUCCUUAGUACGAGAGGACCGGGAUGGACGUACCUCUGGUGUACCAGUUGUCCUGCCAAGGGCAUGGCUGGGUAGCUAUGUACGGAAUGGAUAAGCGCUGAAAGCAUCUAAGCGCGAAGCCAACUUCAAGAUAAGAUUUCCCACCGCAAGGGUAAGACCCCAGAAAGACUAUCUGGUUGAUAGGUCGAAGGUGUAAGUGCAGCAAUGUAUUUAGCUUAUCGAUACUAAUAGGUCGAGGACUUGACCAAU